rnacentral:rRNA from 1 species
GAUGAACGCUGGCGACAUGCCUAAGACACGCAAGUCGAACGAGAUGGCCCAUUGAAGAUUGAGUGCUUGCACGAUUUCCGAUUUGGAUUAUCCAUCUAGUGGCGGACGGGUGAGUAACACGUGGGUGACCUACCUUUGAGUUUGGGACAACUACUGGAAACGGUAGCUAAUACCAAAUAAUAUACAGUUUCGUUUCUGUAUUAAAAGGCGCUUUACAGCGUCGCUCUUAGAUGGGCCUGCGGCGUAUUAGCUAGUUGGUGAGGUAAUGGCUCACCAAGGCGACGAUGCGUAGCCGGACUGAGAGGUUGAUCGGCCACAUUGGGACUGAGACACGGCCCAAACUCCUACGGGAGACAGCAGUUAGGAAUAUUCGUCAAUGGGGGAAACCCUGAACGAGCAAUGCCGCGUGAGUGAUGAAGGUCCUUUGGAUUGUAAAACUCUGUUGCAUGGGAAGAACGGUCAGACUAGGAAAUGAGUCUGAAAUGACGGUACCAUGCCAGAAAGCUCCG